UUUCCGUAGGUGAACCUGCGGAAGGAUCAUUACUGAAAUGUAAUAACUUCUAUUGAAAGGUUCCAGAGUAGGCGCUACAACGCCGAAAUGACCUUCUCACCCUUGUGUACUCACUAUGUUGCUUUGGCGGGUCGACCUGGUUCCGACCCAGGCGGCCGGCGCCCCCGGAGGCCUUCAAACACUGCAUCGUUGCGUCGGAGUUUAAGUAAAUUAAACAAAACUUUCAACAACGGAUCUCUUGGGUCUGGCAUCGAUGAAGAACGCAGC
rnacentral:misc_RNA from 1 species